rnacentral:piRNA from 1 species
UGAAAGUUAUGUCCAUGACUACGUGUCCAAG